CUGGGUGUGGCGCAGUUGGUAGCGCGCCAGAAUGGGGUUCUGGAGGUCGCUGGUUCAAAUCCAGUCACUCAGACCA
rnacentral:tRNA from 10 species